CAGCAGCCGCGGGAAUACGGAGGUCCCGAGCGUUGUCCGGAUUUAUUGGGCGUAAAGCGAGCGCAGGCGGUUAGAAAAGUCUGAAGUGAAAGGCAGUGGCUCAACCAUUGUAGGCUUUGGAAACUGUUUAACUUGAGUGCAGAAGUGGAGAGUGGAAUUCCAUGUGUAGCGGUGAAAUGCGUAGAUAUAUGGAGGAACACCGGUGGCGAAAGCGGCUCUCUGGUCUGCAACUGACGCUGGGGCUCGAAAGCGUGGGGAGCGAACAGGAUUAGAUACCCCAGUAGUCCCUGUCUCUUAUACA
rnacentral:rRNA from 1 species